GACGAACGCUGGCGGCGUGCUUAACACAUGCAAGUCGAACGGAAAGGCCCUGCUUUUGUGGGGUGCUCGAGUGGCGAACGGGUGAGUAACACGUGAGUAACCUGCCCUUGACUUUGGGAUAACUUCAGGAAACUGGGGCUAAUACCGGAUAGGAGCUCCUGCUGCAUGGUGGGGGUUGGAAAGUUUCGGCGGUUGGGGAUGGACUCGCGGCUUAUCAGCUUGUUGGUGGGGUAGUGGCUUACCAAGGCUUUGACGGGUAGCCGGCCUGAGAGGGUGACCGGCCCCAUCGGGACGGAGAUACGCCCCAGACUCCUACGGGAGGCAGCAGUGGGGAAUAUUGCAUAAUGGUCGGAAGCCUGAUGCAGCAAUGCCGCGUGCGGGAGGACGGCCUGCGGGUUGUAAGCCGCGUUCGCCUGUGACGAAGCGUGAGUGACGGGAAUGGGUAAAUAAUCACCGGCUAGCUACGUG
rnacentral:rRNA from 1 species